GACCCAAAGGCCAAAAUGGCACAAGAGGCAGAGCCACAGAUGGGGACCAGGAGCUGGGAGGUCAUGGAGGGACUCUCUUCUACAGCUUUGAUGAUGACCAGCUAUGCCCAGCUGAUCCCAGGAGCUACCUCUCAGGGCUUUGCAGCUUCAUGGAGAAAUUUAAACCAGUGUAAAGCACGGCCUUUUAAAUUGUAUCUGAGGUUAGCUCUGUAAUUUGUCAGUUAUCUGAAGUUCUGUAUGUUCAAGUUCUGCUCUGACACCGGCCUUUGUCAGGAGACCAGUUACCAUGGCAGUGCCUCUAAAAUAGAACAAGUCCAACACGCAUCAAUAGACUGCCUAAUAAAUAGAAUAAGUACUACUUACAAUACAUUAUUCAGUUUCUACUGAGCAGUAAUUUGUGCAGAGUUGAAAAUAACGACACCUCCCCCCCUUCAUUUAAUUAAAGGAAAACAAUUCAACAACCCAGAAUGAAGUGUUUACAUCAGAGUGGAACUUGAGCUGCUGUGUGAUUAACAGGCUAAGAUCAUGGAUGGGUUUGCUAGAGAAAGUUGAUGUGGUAAAGCCAUAGACCCCCACCUCCCCCAGAGAACGGCUCCAAAGUAUUCUCUCUCACACCGACCCUAUGGUGGGGUUUGAGUUGAGGCUCUAGCUAGGUAUGAGCAAAGGAAAAAGAGCAUCUAAAAGACAGGUGGCGCGUUCUCCCAGUGCGGGAGGAGCAUCUCUGCUGUCUGUCACUCCUACCCUGGUUUACACCUGUCAUCAUGGCUCUCUCCAGGGUGUGAUGUUUUGUUCAUUUGUUUGAGAACAUCCUGUAUUCCACUCUCCACAGAUGUCCUGAGAUACCUUUUCCACUUCCUGCCUUAGUUCUAAGACUAUCCAUUUCUCUAGGAAGCUCUGAUUCCAUUGAUUGGAGAACAGCAUUAGAAACAAGUCCAAGGUUAAACAUGAAUAUAUUGAUGGUUUAUGUUCUCUUGCUUGACAGAUCAAGGACACACACACACACACACACACACACACACACACACACUUAUAAAUACCGUUGUAUAUAUCCAUCUGUUUCUAUAUUAAGCCAAGCAUGAGUUAAGGCUGAUGUCUCCAGCUCCAAUCUGUUCCACUUGGAACAUCUCCUACUCUUCUCCUUCGCUCUCUUACUUUCCUGAAACUUCUCACCAAACCAGGAAGAGAUGUGGCCAUCCUCCGUUUACCUGACUGUUCAGAUCUAGCGCAUAUGCGCAAUUACUUCCUCAUGGGGAGCAUGCGCAGUUACUUCCUCACAGAGCGCAAUUGCACGAACCAAACUGCGGUACUUGUGAACAGAUCUCUGGGUCUUCAGUCUCACAGACUCCACCGUCAGUUUCCACAAUAUUCUCCAGUGGAUCAAUGCCCAGGUUGGACUUUUGUCAGGAAUGAUUUAUCGAAGAGAUACAUUUCCAUCAGAAUCUUCCUGAAGCAAUCAUCUCGGGGACGUAUGCUUAUUGGAUCUCAUUAUAAGUCCACAGCUUUGCUGCCAAGAUAUUAAGUAGUACCACACCUUUGAAAGCCACUUAUGGCUGUUCAUAAUGCAGCAGAGGUGGCUCAUUUCCCAGACCAGAUGUGAGGACUAGCUGAAUGCAGAGGGGACACAGAGGGGACGCAGAGGAUCGGUCACCUCCCCAGUGAAGACACCUGACUUCAUUGUGUGACUUGCAUUAUAGUUGUUCAUCUUUGGGGAGCGGGGUGGUGCCGUCACUGGCUUGGGAUGUUUACCAUAUCUUCCACCUCAAACACUCCUUGGAGCUUUGUGGAGACGAUAUUCUCAGCCCUCCUCUCCAGCUCUGUCUGAAGGACACUUCCACUCCGUGGAGAAUCCCAGUCACAGUGCCACAUUUUGUCAUCUCAAAGAUGUCAUUCUACUGCCAUCUGGCUUCCGUCAUCUCCAAUGAAAGGUUGGCUGUUGACCUAACUGCUUUUCCUCUGAGGCAUUUCCCAUCACCUCAACUGCUUCAGGAGUUGAAUUUCAAGUGGUUUAUAUAACGUUGACCAAGGAAACUAAGCAGCGCAGACCUCCACAGUGAGAACUCAAAGACACUGAAACAAUUGACAGAGAUAUCAGAAGAUGGCGAGACCUCUGUUCUCAUCAACUGGAAGAAUUAAUGGAUGGUGAAAAUUAAUUACCAAACAAUCUGCAGAGAUUUAAUACAAGCCUAAUUGAAUUUUGAUUUAGUCAAAAUCCCCUGGCAUUUUUCACAUAUAUAGUAUUUUUUAUAAAUGUAUAUGGGAUCAGAAAAGACCAAAGCAAUCCUGGGAUUGCUGUUAGCAUUUCUGAUGCCAUGUUAUACCACCAGAGCCAUAGUAGCAACAGCAUGGUGCAGACUCAGAAACAGGCAUAUGGUAGAAGGAAGGACCCGGAUGUAAGUCCACACAACUACAGUGCCUUCACAACGUCAAAAAAUGUACAUUAAAGAACAGGCAAUAUCUUCAACAGAGAGUUCUGGAGAACCUGGCUAUCAACACGCAGAAAAAUGAAAUCAAAUCUGUAUCUCUCACCUUGUACAAAACUCAACCCCAAAGGUAUGACCUCAACGUAAGAGCAGCUAGUCUCAAAUAUUUACCUUCAGAUGGCAGAUCUUAUAGAUAGCAUAUUUCUGUAUUCUAUUGUUGUGUGUUUUCCAGUGGUAUGUGUAAAGGCAGGGACUUCAGGUAAAAACCCGUUACAUUUAGGGUAAUUUUGAAAGUUGGAGCUUAUUUCUCCAUUUCAUCUUUUGUCUAGUUUUAUCCUCUGAAUCUCUUCCUCCAGUUUCUUUUUCCUACCUGCAUAAGUUUAUUAAAUGUAUAUCCCCACACUUACUUUUGAUCUCUGUGCAGCAUUUUGAAUAUAUCAUCUGUCUGCCUUCUUUAGUGACUGCUGUAGGUGCUACUGCACGUGUAAGGAGCUUAGUCACGGGCUUGGUGCCUCAUCAUGCGGACAGAGUAAAGAUCACAGGUAAGUUAUUUAACAAGAACCCCAUCCUGGAUAUCACAGCAUUCUGGAUAUGGAACUGGGCUCAUCACCCUGCACAGGAUGCCUACCCACCCUAGGCGGCAUGCUGCAAUCUGAGAAGCCCGCCCUGGGAGAUGACGCCAGUGUGCUGAGAGCCAACAAGAAGAAAGUCAUUGUGAGUCUGUUUCGGUGAGGUGCUCCUCAUUCCCUCUCAUGUGUUAGUAAAAUGUGCCUGUUGGGGGUGGGGUGUGCACACGUGGGUGUGCGCACCAAUGGGCCUGUGGAGGUCAGAGGUCAUGUCUACUGGCAAUGCUCAGGGACCCUCCCUGUUUUGUUUGAUACAGAGUCUCUCAUUGGCCCAGAAUGUUACCAAGUGGAUUGUGUUUGGCUGGCCAGUGAGCAUCUAGUCAUCCCCGUCUCUGCCUCCCAUCUUAACCAUUCCUGAGAUUACAAGUGUCUGCCAAACUGGCUUUUCGCAGCAUUCUGGGGAUCCACACUCAGGUCUGGACACUUGCAUGGCAGCGCUCUAGAGAGUGGGCCGUCUCACUG
rnacentral:lncRNA from 1 species